rnacentral:rRNA from 2 species
ACGGGGUGCAGCAGGCGCGAAACCUUUGCAAUGUGCGAAAGCACGACAAGGUUAAUCCGAGUGUCUCCUGCUAAAGGAGUCUUUUGUCAGUUGUAGAAUCACUGAUGAAUAAGGGGUGGGCAAGUUCUGGUGUCAGCCGCCGCGGUAAAACCAGCACCUCGAGUGGUCAGGAGGUUUAUUGGGCCUAAAGCAUCCGUAGCCGGUUGCAUAAGUUUUCGGUUAAAUCUAUGCGCUCAACGUAUAGGCCGCCGAAAAUACUGUGCAGCUAGGGAGUGGGAGAGGUACACGGUACUCAAUAGGAAGGGGUAAAAUCCUUUGAUCUAUUGAUGACCACCUGUGGCGAAGGCGGUGUACCAGAACACGUUCGACGGUGAGGGAUGAAAGCUGGGGGAGCAAACCGGAUUAGAUACCCGGGUAGUCCCAGCUGUAAACGAUGCAGACUCGGUGAUGCAUUGGCUUGUGGCCAAUGCAGUGCCGCAGGGAAGCCGUUAAGUCUGCCGCCUGGGAAGUACGUACGCAAGUAUGAAACUUAAAGGAAUUGGCGGGGGAGCAC